rnacentral:rRNA from 1 species
UACGAAGGUGGCAAGCGUUGUUCGGAUUUACUGGGCGUACAGGGAGCGUAGGCGGUUGGAUAAGCCCUCCGUGAAAUCUCCAGGCUUAACCUGGAAAGUGCAGAGGGGACUGUUCAGCUAGAGGAUGGGAGAGGAGCGCGGAAUUCCCGGUGUAGCGGUGAAAUGCGUAGAGAUCGGGAGGAAGGCCGGUGGCGAAGGCGGCUCUCUGGGACGGUACUGACGCUGAGACGCGAAAGCGUGGGGAGCGAACAGG